AUUUGAUUGAAUUCACAAACCCAAUGCUGCAGAAUCCAGUCUAUGCUGAAACACACAUUCUUCCUGCGCAGAAAACUAGUGGCUCCUUUUCAGCUAUUAUGGCCUGAAUUCAUGCUUGACAGUGGUGAAUGGUCAAAGAGAAAAGAACUUGUAGAGAAGAGAUCAGCUCUUGCUGCUGCAACUUGACCACAUGAGGUGUAGCAAAUACUACCUAGUCAGAUUUUCUGUUUGCCAAUUACGUGCUUACCAUCAAUAGCUUCAAUAAACCCAAUAGACAUCUUCACCAGAGUAACCACUGUGGGUCCAGUGCAGUGCUCACUGAAGUACAUUGAAAUGUUUUCAUUACGUCCAAAUGCAUAUUGGAUCGGAUCUGAUGC